AUUUAUUUAGUAUAAUAAAGUAUAUUUGACUUCCAAUCAAAUGGUUCAAUAAAAUGAAAUAAAUA
rnacentral:tRNA from 1 species